ensembl:lincRNA Gm16081 predicted gene 16081
UUUUUAGAACUUCAACUGUGGAAAAAUCAUAUUCUCUUCAUCAGCAUCACACCAGCCUUGUGGUCUUUCUCAGCUUCAAGGAUCUGUGUGAGUUAAUUGGCCUCAGAAAGACAUUGAAGCAUGAUUUUAUCUUCACCACAUCUGCUCAGCACACUUCAUUGUGUAAGGCGUCCUAUUCACAGAUUCCAAGGACUAGGAAUGAACAUCUUCAGAGGCCACCAUUCUGUCUCCCACAGACCUGAUCUCCUAAAGGCUUUGCAGACUAGUUUGCUGGGAUUAUGCAUUGCGCACAUGAGCUUUUCAUAAUAUUUUGUAUUGGUUAUUUAUGAAUUUCCAAUUAUGAGCCCUGAGCACAGUCACUUCAGAGUCCUCCCAGGUCUGUCCCCUACUCUUGUGACCUCCCACCCCUAAAAAAGAAGAAAAAAAAAAGAAAAAGAAAUCCAACGAGUCUAAUUUGUGAGUAAUACUUAUUCACUGGAGCAUGGUGAAUCUUCUGCUGGCCAGCCCCUGAAAGAAAACUGAGUCCCCAUCCCCUGACUCCCAACACCCCUGCCAUCAAUUGUGGAGAGCUACACAUCAGCAUCCAUAUCACAGUUUUUAAGAGUUCUCUUUGGUGGCUGUCUCAGCUGUUACUUUUGGAGAGUGGGGUUGAGGUGGAGGUAGCUGUUACAGACGCCUCCUAUG